AACAUCGAUACGAUAUCUGCACGAUACAUCGAACUAGAACUAGAACUUUCAUCUCUGAUACUUAUGUGCAUACAUUUAGCUCUUUCCUGUUUCCGGAUUCCGAUUGCUGCAACGUGUUCGAAAUGCUGACCAAAUUACCUAUUACGAUCAUUGACCAAAUACUCGGUUACCUGCCAGAGGAAGACCAACUGCAAGUGGCCCAAGUCAAUCAGCAGCUUGGCCACGCAUUUGCCUAUCACGCUAGACAAAAAUAUAAAACAAUUUUUUUCUUCAAAAUGGGUGAAAGGGCAGAUGACGAAUUAAGAGUCAUUCUUUCACUAUGUGGAUCCACUGUUGAAAAAAUUGUAACCGAACAUGGGAACUUGUCGCCUCAAAUUAAGGAACUCAUCAAAAAGUACUGCAUUAAUCUCAAAAGUUUGGAUACAAUAUGGCAAUUCUAUCUAGAUUGCUGUUCUACCAUAGUAAGAUUAGACACUUAAUAAGUAAAUGUAAAAGUAUUUAAAACUUUGCUUACAGGCAAAUGGGCGAAUGCACAAAUUUGAAGAAAAAAGUAGGUACAAAAAUGUAUAUUUUUCGUUACAAGAACACCAGAAAUACAAACGUUUUUUUUUUUUGUUUCAGUGCUGAACCUUAAAUAGUUCGACAUGGACUCGGAAAUGCCAAUAUUCAAUAUUGAAUCCCACUUUAAUCUUUAAUCCCAUUAUAACAAAGUAUUGUCAACACACUGGAGAGUCGCAUAUUGCUUCCUAUACACACAGGAUAUAAUAACAUAGCGUAAUAUUGUAAGAUCUGAGACUAAUGUUGAAUAUUCCCCAAAGUUCGUGGCUAAUUAAUAUACGAAUUUCAAGCCACCGAAAUGAGCAGUCAAAUUUGCAUAACCAAAACACAAACGUUCAAACUAAUUAAUAUUAAAUUGAAGCAAAAUUCCAAAAUUUAAUUUCGCGCAUCAAACUUUACGGAGGGUGGAUGGGGAACCCAAUCCAUCCAUCCAUUCCGAUUCCCUUCCUCCCUGACCAACUAUUGACUUUUGACUUUGGCCACGGCCUGACGGGCCUGAUGACUGUUCUGCGGCUUUUGCUAGAACGCCCCUCAUGGAUAUUGCGGCCGGAGAGCAAUUCAUAAUCAUGUCAUAAAGCCGGGGGAGCACCUCAAACCCCCCAGCGACAGGCAUUCUUGCCGCUUAACCCGCUCCUGGCCGUGGCGUGGCGAGGCUGCUUAAUUACAACGGCU
rnacentral:lncRNA from 1 species